rnacentral:pre_miRNA from 1 species
UCCCUGGCGUGAGGGUAUGUGCCUUUGGACUACAUCGUGGACGCCAGCACCAUGCAGUCCAUGGGCAUAUACACUUGCCUCAAGGCCUAUGUC